GGCGACAUGGCCAAGUGGUAAGGCGGGGGACUGCAAAUCCUUUAUCCCCCAGUUCGAAUCUGGGUGUCGCCUAAUCUAUAAA
rnacentral:tRNA from 1 species